rnacentral:rRNA from 1 species
GAUGAACGCUGGCGGCGUGCCUAAUACAUGCAAGUCGAGCGAAUGGAUUAAGAGCUUGCUCUUAUGAAGUUAGCGGCGGACGGGUGAGUAACACGUGGGUAACCUGCCCAUAAGACUGGGAUAACUCCGGGAAACCGGGGCUAAUACCGGAUAACAUUUUGAACCGCAUGGUUCGAAAUUGAAAGGCGGCUUCGGCUGUCACUUAUGGAUGGACCCGCGUCGCAUUAGCUAGUUGGUGAGGUAACGGCUCACCAAGGCAACGAUGCGUAGCCGACCUGGGAGGGUGACCGGCCACACUGGGACUGAGACCCGGCCCAGACUCCUACGGGAGGCAGCAGUAGGGAAUCUUCCGCAAUGGACGAAAGUCUGACGGAGCAACGCCGCGUGUGUGAUGAAGGCUUUCGGGUCGUAAAACUCUGUUGUUAGGGAAGAACAGGUGCUAGUUGAAUAAGCUGGCACCUUGACGGUACCUAACCAGAAAGCCACGGCUAACUACGUGCCAGCCGCCGCCGUAA